GCCAUGAUGGUGCGGUGGUUAGCACUAUUGCCUCAUGGGAAGAAGGUCGUGGGUUUGAAUCUAGCCUGGGGCC